UCGUUUUAACAUAUCAGUAGCUGAUCAUGGGCCCUGUAAUUGUCAAUAAAACAAAAAAUGUUGCUUGAAAUGACUACAGUUUGUUCAGGUGAGACAUAUUUUACAGAUGAAUGGCCAUCUACUUCCUUGCAUCCACUCCACAACCCUUUAAGGCAGAACAACAUCC